ACACAUGCAGUCGAGCGGGGGANAUUGCUUCGGUAAUUGACCUAGCGGCGGACGGGUGAGUAAUACUUAGGAAUCUGCCUAUUAAUGGGGGACAACAUCUCGAAAGGGAUGCUAAUACCGCAUACGCCCUACGGGGGAAAGCAGGGGAUCACUUGUGACCUUGCGUUAAUAGAUGAGCCUAAGUCGGAUUAGCUAGUUGGUGGGGUAAAGGCCUACCAAGGCGACGAUCUGUAGCGGGUCUGAGAGGAUGAUCCGCCACACUGGGACUGAGACACGGCCCAGACUCCUACGGGAGGCAGCAGUGGGGAAUAUUGGACAAUGGGGGGAACCCUGAUCCAGCCAUGCCGCGUGUGUGAAGAAGGCCUUAUGGUUGUAAAGCACUUUAAGCGAGGAGGAGGCUCUCUUGGUUAAUACCCAAGAAGAGUGGACGUUACUCGCAGAAUAAGCACCGGCUAACUCUGUGCCAGCAGCCGCGGUAAUACAGAGGGUGCGAGCGUUAAUCGGAUUUACUGGGCGUAAAGCGUGCGUAGGCGGCUUUUUAAGUCGGAUGUGAAAUCCCCGAGCUUAACUUGGGAAUUGCAUUCGAUACUGGGAAGCUAGAGUAUGGGAGAGGAUGGUAGAAUUCCAGGUGUAGCGGUGAAAUGCGUAGAGAUCUGGAGGAAUACCGAUGGCGAAGGCAGCCAUCUGGCCUAAUACUGACGCUGAGGUACGAAAGCAUGGGGAGCAAACAGGAUUAGAUACCCUGGUAGUCCAUGCCGUAAACGAUGUCUACUAGCCGUUGGGGCCUUUGAGGCUUUAGUGGCGCAGCUAACGCGAUAAGUAGACCGCCUGGGGGAGUACGGUCGCAAGACUAAAACUCAAAUGAAUUGACGGGGGCCCGCACAAGCGGUGGAGCAUGUGGUUUAAUUCGAUGCAACGCGANAAACCUU
rnacentral:rRNA from 1 species